CACUGGAUUAGAUUAUCUCAGGGCCCCUCUUGCUGUUGUAUUUGUCUUUCAGUCAGUGCUAUUUCCCACACUUUUAAAUAUCAUUGUUCUGAAGAAAGAUGUACUACAAUUUCUGAAUGUUUUGUAAUAGUUAAUCUGGCAGGUAACAGGAAAAAAAAAGAAUUAAUUUCUUGUAGUGCAAUAGUUUAGGUCUUGAUAAAUAUAAGCCAUGAACCUAUAUAGAAUUAAUUAUCAGCAAUUGUUGAGUAAUGUUUUUUUUAAUUUUCCUAAAUACUUUUGACCAAAAUCAAUAACUAAGUGGACACUGCAAUCAGAAGGGAUAAUAUGAACCAAAUAUAUUACAAUCUAACCAGUGAAUUCUAGAAAGAUUUAAAUUAACAUAAUGCCAUUUUAAAAGGAUAUAGUACUGUCUAUGAAUUAUUUUUAUAAUAAAUUCUGGAUAACUAAACUCUGAGAUGGAUUCUUCUGGAUAUUUCUGCUAUAUGUGGGGCAAUCCUCAAAGGCCUACCACGUUCAUUUUCAUACCUACCUUUACAUCUCCCCCAAACAACCUAAAAUCAACCUUUUGGGAAGGAUUAUUUUCCCCCCUUGCUCUCUUUCCCUUUUUCAUUUUCUGUGGAAUUAAGAAGGAAAGAGAUGUAGGAGGUCUCUGGAAGUCAAACCAUUUUUUCCAUCAAUGUCCACAAACUCUCAAAAAUAGCCUUAAAUCAGUCCUAUUAUGUUUUCAGGCCAUUGGGAAUGGGGAGAUAUAGUAUAGGAAAAUUUGCCCUCUUAGCAGAUGCUUCCUGCUGCCAUUCUCAUCCUUAGAAUGUAAAAAAGGAAAAACCAAACCCCUAAAUUGGCCUUGCUUGCCCCUUCUGAAGAUGUCCAUGUCUUCAGGUGGGAGCUUGAGUUGUCCCUCCCACCUCUAUGAUACAGACCUUCAAUCUGACUCUUAACUUCAGAUCCCAAAUCUUCAUUCCGUAGUUUUCAAGACUUUCAUGGGAACCUAUGGUAGUUGCUGUAGCACUGAAGAUGUUCCUCUGAUUUAAAAGUAUGUGGAUAUAUAGUGUUAUUAAAAAUGCUGUUAAUAAUUUUGACAGGUGAGAUUUAAUAAACAUCUAAAAAGAUGAUGGAACUUGUUCCAUUUGUAACCAGGUUGGAAGUGGUGGCUGGUUCUUUAGUACUAUGGCAGCUUAUUAAGCAAAGAACAGUUUCCUGUACAUGAUUAGGUCUCUAACCUGAACAAGUUCUCUCUUCCCAUUUUUUGCACUGCUCAUAUUUAUGGGUUUUCAUGUUUUCUAAAUGAUAGCUUUGGCAUGUGGUUCUCAUCUUUCUGCUCUUGAGCCAAUAGGAUCACAGAUGCUUGAGAAGAAAAAGGAGCUACAUCUGGAUUUCUGGUCACAUUUCAAUGUAUGUGUGGCCAUAUUCCCACAAACUGGGAUUGUUUUGAAAUCUAGUUUUGCAGAAUGUCAGAAACUGAAUUAUGGUUCCCAACUACACAGAAUCUGGCAAUGCAGAUAUAAUUUCUUUUCUAUGCUGCAUCUUCCCUGGCCUCUGAGAGUGCCUUGCAAAAUCUGCAGCUUACUCCUGAAGGCUCAUAAACGAACCAGCCAGGCAGUCAAGUAUGCAAACAUGAGAACUGUUGCUGUCCUGACAUGACAACUGUUUCUUUUUUAAAAAACCAUGUUAUUAAAAGUUCCUUGAUGAAUUAUUGGAAAUGGAAUUCUAUGAAUCCUUGUACGUACGGUUAAGAGAGCGGAUUCCGUAACGCACACAUAUGGGCCUGUUUGUUUUGGUAGUGUUAGUUAGUUAUUGUUCGUUAGUCAGUUGGUGCCAGCACAUACUUUCCUUUCAAGGCAAAUAACAGAUUCAGAAGAAAGCUUUUUGUAAAGGUCAUAAAAGAUGGGUGUUAAAAUCUCCUGUCUCCUACAGACCUUUGUCGGUCCCCUAACUGUAGUUUCUGUUUCCCUAAAGACUUUCUUCCUUGUUCCCAAGAUUUUUGUUCAACAUCCUUUCUGGUGCAUAAGCAUAAGCCACAUGCCGUGGCAUCUUUCCCCCCCCCCCAUAUAACUGCAACAUAGGCAGCUAAAUAUAGCAUUUACUUGACUGAACCCCUUACAUAUGCAAAGGCUGCACCCAUCUGGGAUCAGUGUUACACUCCUGCAUUCUCACAAUCCCAUUGGUCUUGGGCAGGUCUUCAGCAGCUGAGCUAAUUCACCUCCAGCUCCUCUGCUGCUUGAGAGAGAAUGCCAUGAAAACAGUUGGUAGCACUUCCUCUGGAGUGCUGGAGUAUUUCCUCCCUCCUCAUCCUACUUCCUGCAUCCUGGGAUUUCCCCCCUCCUUUCUGGAACCAUCCACCCCCCAUCUUAUUUUGGAGUUAUUCUAGUGGCAGCUUUGCCAUUCCUUCCAUAUAGUCUCCAGAAAAAGACACCGCAAGGAAAUGAUUUGCCACAAAUAGAACAAGAAAUUAUGGAGGGUGGAGCAGGAAGCUGGCAGAACACUGAGCUUUUUACUCCCCGUUCACUAGUGGGAUGGCCUUUGAGACCUCUCUUCCUUCAUCGUCCUCAGCCCCAGGGUGGAACAGCAAGAACACUAUGGCACUGCAAACCAAUGCAGAGAAUACAAGAAGUGUACAGAAGUGCCCCGGGGCAGCUAUACUUUCAGCAGCUGAGUGUGCUCUAGGAGUCAUGCCUUUUGGCUGCCACUUGUGGAAAGGAUCAGGGCCACUCAGAGGCUGCCUUGGAAGGUUGGGAGGAUUCUUCAGGGCAGAAUUCACCUGGGAUACUGAGGCUGCAGGAAGAAGAGGAAUGAAAAUGAAUGUGUAGCAUUCAAAUCCACCUGUAGUUUGCAUGUUCCCAAAACACAGGAAAAAUUGCCUUCUGGCAGCAAAUGGCCACCACUGAAUAAAUAAUCAUUUCUCAAUCUACUGUUCUUCAGUUGUAUGGGCCACUGGCCAUGCUGGCUGGGAAUUCUUGGAACUGUAAUUCAUCACAUCUGGAAGAUACCAGGUUGGAGAAGAGAGGAACAAGGUUUCAAUGUGAUGUAAAUGAUAGAAGUAGCCUGAGUGAGAGGUCACUGGUGCAGAUAAUAUUUGCUGAAUCCUCUACCCCAGUCACCUGUGCAUGCCUGCCCCUUCAAACAUGAAGUGCAGUGAUUAGAGGUUAUUUUUCCCCUGGCAGGUAAAGCUGGGUUGGAGUGGAAACACAUCCAGGGGAAUCCAUCAAUCACUGUCCUUUAUUUGUCCCACCUUAAAAUGAUGAGGGCAACACUAAUCACUAGCCUCAUAACUGAGGUGGAAUAGAGCUUGGCCAUCAGACUGAGAAAAUUAUGCCAUCACACCAUUCUGCUAAUUCAGGGAUGAGAGGGCUGCACAUAAACCUGACAACAAGGAAGAACCCAUAGCUCAGCAUUUUGAUCCUCACAGUGACCAAACUGAUGCUCCUCAGGUGCUCACUGGAUGGAGACAUGUCACUGUCCCACCAUUGUUUCCUUGCAACUGGUGUCAGAGAUCAUACUGCUUCUGUCCCAGUAGUAAGAUUGAGUCUUCAAGACUAAUUACUCUGGAUAGACCUAUCCUUCAUGAAUUUAUCCAGACCUGUUUUAAAGCCUUCCAAGUUAAAGGCCACCAUUAUUUUUUGAGAUAAUGAAUUCAGCUCCACGGAAUAAUUAUACACAGUAUGAAAAAUGGCUUUUUUUUGGUUAGUUCUAGAUCUUCCAAUCAAUUUUAUAGAUGGUCAUUUGUUCUAGUGUUUUGAAAUGAAGAGAAGUUCCUCAAUGUCCAUUUUUUCCUUGCUAUUCAUGUAUCAUGGGUGAUCCCUGACUCUGGAGCAGGAAUCCAGAAAGUAGAACCUGGGAGCUUCAGGCAACCUGCCAUGAUUGUCAUAGUCUUCCAGUGUGGGUGGGGCCAAUAUGUUUAGCCCCCUUUUUUGCAUUUUUUAGAUUUCAGGGUAAAGGGCAAAAUAUAUACUUUAAAUCUUUCAGGGAAUUAAGACAUCCAUUUUACUUCUUAAAACCCCUGAAAUCACCAAAAUACAGAGCCUGCCAUCACCCACUUUUGGAUGUGUCACUUGUACAAAGCCUAGUGUGCCUCUGAGUGGACAGAAGUUGUACACAUCUGCUGUAGAACAUACAUAACAGUUCUCUCUCUCUGUCUCACUAGGCUAAAUAGGGUCUCUCUCUACUUCCUGCUCCCCCACAUAAUGUUCCCAAAUAGCAAGACGCUACUUAGCAUAGUUGUAUAUCCACAUGCUGCCUUUCAGAAGAGACCCUAAAGAUUUUUCACAUAUUGGAGUUUAAGCCAAUGAGCAGAAACCUAUUUUUCUAUUGUGUAUUGGAAGUGUAUAAGGAAGUUUUGAAUACACCCUUUGUACUAAUUGCUCAUGAUAAUGGGUUUCUAGCUAUAUACUGAGGAACUGUGGAGUUCUGCAGAAACCAAACAUGAUUCCUCAAUUAGGAAAUCAGCAAGUCAUGGAAUGCAAAUUUUCCAUGACUCAUUGAUUUCCUGACUGAGAAAAGAGUUUCUUCUGCAUUAGAUACCUUCUAAUGCAGAAGCUGGGAGUUUUCUCCUAAAGCAGAGUUGCGGGUAGUCAUUUGGUUUGUGGAUUCUAUUUUACUUUUUCACUGGAACCUCAGUUUAUUACCUUCCGACAGAAGACAAAGAGUGGCUCAGUAGGGCACAUAAACAUUAAACAAAUGGCAGAGAACUUAAGUUUGCACUUAAAACCUGUUGCACACACUUUCUUGAUUGUAGCUGUUUGCUAGUGUUAAAUUAUGGAGAGUUUGAAAUUAUUGCUGAUUUGCUGCAGACCAACAAGUGAUUCAACUUUCAAUCCAGAUUUACUUGUUGCUGUCCCUGUUCUAAGAAAUGUAUGCUGAGUUGUUUUAAAGUGACAGUAAGACUGAGGAGAGUGACAUGGGAAGUGAAUGCUGCACCUGCCAGCAAUGUAGAAAAGGCUGUCUGGAACGGGAUAGACCAGUAAGGGCAGCAGGAGACAUCUUUGAACAGAGGUCACCAAAGGGCCCAUUAGCAUACUAAAAACAAUGCCCCCAAUUACAUAAUUCCAUGCCUUAGGGAGGGGAAAGACCUUAUUUGGUCAGAAGGAAGUCAACACUUAUAUAACUAAAGUUUCAGAACGCUUGCGCAACGAGAUAACCAAUAGGCGGCAGGCUGAGGUAUAAAAAGUUUUGUGUGCGCAAAUGGGGGUUCCUUCUCUUGGGAGAGGGACCCACUUUGUUUGGUACCAAAUAAACCAUUAACAGACCUUUCUCGUGCCCGGAGUCUUAUUGGCGACAUCUUCGGGGAUAUCACCACUAUUGUGGCCAACAAGACCUUGAAGGUCCUCUGUGGGGCUUCCUAAAUGACAAUGUCAAUCUGAUCAUGACCCCUACAUUAUUGCAGAGUAAUUACUUUGCACUAAGUGCUAGUUCUCUGGGCCUGUAGGAACAUGUUUGUUGCAAACCAGAACUGCCCCUUAGCAAGCAGGAAGUAUUGCUGUGGAAGUGAUAUUUCAUUUUUCUAGCUUGAACUGCAGAGUUUUGAAUUCACUAAAUGGGGCUCAACCUGCCGCUCAGUUCUGGUAACCCAGCAAUAUGGCUGGAUGUCAGCACCUGAUUAAAGACCUCAAUUACAGAGUAGGGUAGAUGGUUUGAUAGAUUCUCACCAUGGAAAGGACCCAAAACUAAUUAUCUUUUUUUCUUUACUGAGUUGAAAUGGUUUUUAUUUUGUGAGUGAAACAAAAGUGAUAGGAAAAGGCCCUUCUUGUUUAGCACCAAAUGAGCACUGAUGGUUGUUCUAUGAGUUGGGGUUGGUUGCUUCUGUGGCUUUAUAAUGUUUCCCUCUUUUACUCUUAUUUUCACAGUAUGUUUUGUGUUGGAAACUGCCAUAAGUCCAUUCUUGAUUCUGUCGGUGUAUAAAUGCAAUAAAAAAUAAAAUAGCUGAAGCAACUAUAAAGUAGCCCUCUCCUUUGCACUUGCAUCCUGGUGACCAUAAAUAUCCCCCCAAGCACUUCUUUUAAGAUUGGAAGGCUUAGGUGAUCAGAAGGCUGGACAUCUGGGAGUUCCUUGUGUUGACCAUUGACUCUGGAAUAAGCUGACUGUGGUUCUGCAAUUCCGAGGGAGAGAUGUGUUUCUCAGAUGUGUUUUUCAGUAAGCAAACACAUCUGGGAAGUCACUGAGGCAGCAUUCCUCAAACUGAGGCUCUGGAUCUGCCAUGGGAUUUCUGAUGUUUUCAGGAAGGUUUCUACAUCUCCUGAAUUCUGCCAGACAAAAGAUCAGAGCAACAGGCAGAUUAGAACAAAUAUUCACCUCAGAAAAUCAGCUGAUGGUUCUUUCAGGGAUAACCCUUCUGUGUUCUGGGUCCAUUUAUAUCUACUUAAUUAAAGGUUUCAGUGAUUUUGUUUGUCCUUUCAAAUGGGCCCAAAGAGUAGAAAGUCCGAGAAAUCCUAUAUUGGAAGAAUGAAGGCUGAUCUUCACAUCUGCCAAGGGAACUAGGCGGGUAUGUGCCCCAAUAACCAUUUUAAGCGUCACACUUCUUUAAGACAUUGCCUCUGUCUCAUCCCCAGUCCACUGUGGAGGCAGCUUAAAUUCAGCUUUCCAAUUUUCUCUCUAGAUGAACACCUGCCGGGUCCCUGAGUCUCUAAAUAAGGAAAGCAGCUAAAUAAGAGCCGGCUAAGUUGCACUGGUUUCCCUCCAGCCAAAUGUGGAAGUAGGGGGAUGGGAUAAAAGGCUUUUGAAAAAUUAAGAUACAGGAUUAAUACCUUUCAAUAUUUGUUUUAAAUAUGUUCCUUGAUAAAGAACUUCAUAGAAUUUGCAUCAUUGCCAAAUAGCAAAGGCCAAACAAUCCUGCAAACUAAAAAAUACAAAUUAUAAUUACCUAUAUGAGUCCAAAAUCACUAUUCGCAUUACUACUCAGUUUUAUUAUUUUAUAAAUUAGAGUUAAAUAACUGGGUGAACAGUCUUUUAGUUUUCUUUUAAAGUGGCACAAAUAUCAUCACAUUCUCUCAUUUUGUAAUUGUUUUAACCAUUAAAAAUGAAAGAAGCAUAAUUAAAAAGUUUUAUAUAUAAACAAGGUACCCAAGAACUUGUCAGGAAUUGUUCUUAAUAGCACACAUAAAAACAUAAUCACAAUCUUUUUAUAUUAUUUCACUAAUUUGUGCAAAUAUUUUUACUAUAGUGUAAUAGAAAUUUAUGCAUGUGCAAAAGUUUAAUGUGCAUUUGUUAAUUUAGAGAAAGUUAUACAAUGGAUAGAUUUGAAUUUUGGGGGUUUUGCACACAUAUGAAGCUGAAAAUUGGUGCCCGAAUUCACUAAGAUGGAAGGAGAAAGGAAGUAGCUGUUAACCAAUUUAAUACAUAUACUGGAGAUACACUCUAAUAUUCAAAGCAAGCACCCUGAUCUAUAGAAACUAACAACAAAAUAUGUAUUAUGCAUGAAUUCAGCAAUUUUUCCUCAUUAAAAAAUUUUUAAAAAUCCCUGGAUUUUACAAUUACUGUUUUUUUUAUAUAUUCAUUGCUGAGUUUCAUAAUGGUAAAAUGGAAUUUGACACUGUGAGCUCACAGUGUGCGCUUAUCUGUGCAAUUUCAUUUGAUACUUAUUAUGCUACCUGAAUAGUUUUAGACAAAAUUACUACUACUAGUAGUUUUAGACAAAAUUACUACUACUACUACUACUACUACUACUACUAUUUAUUUUUGGAAGGAGGGCAAUGGAGGGAUUAAGAGUUUUAUUCUAAUGUCACAAAACGUAUCCAACUAGAAUUGGAAAGUCCAGCGCAUUCAUUCAUAGUACAUACUCCCAGACUUUGGGGUCGGGGGGGGGAGAAGUCUGUGUGGAAAAGUAAGAUUUCAUUCAAUGUCUUAAAUCAUGCUGCAACAUUUAAUUCUUUGCUGGAACAGACAUGAUUUGGAAUCAUGAGCUUAGAAACCUGCAGUGGGUGGAUUCAGAUACAGUCAUGGUUUGAGUUGAUACAGCAAGAUGAGAUCUGGACCCAGUAUAAGAAAUAACCCCAUCUCUGAUGUUAUAUGUUUCCCAUACUCUGUGGUAGCCAUACAAAUUUCGACCAAGUCUGAAGAAAUUUAAAUGUUGAAGAAAGUGUGAAAGCUUGGAUCUUGAAGAUCAACUAGAUUAUAGUAUAAGCAAUCGCUGACUUGAGUGGCAAUACCAUUUUUCAGUAGUUUACUGUAUAUAGCAGCUAAUUCUUUUACAAGAAUUAGCAGGAAGCAAUAGAACUAGCUCAGCUUGCAAAUUAUAGUUCAUUCAAAAGUGUGGGAAAUGUUUGUUGAAUAGGGUUUCUUUGUAAAUAACAUCAGAAGAGGAGCUAUCAAUAGGAAAAUGUGGCUAUUUUAUUUAAUCUAAAAGAUUAAGUAUAAGAUCUCAAUUUACAAAAAGAAAACCACUCUAAGAAAUACAAGUAUCAAACCUCAACACUUAAACAGGUUUUUCCAAGACAGUUAACUAAAGAGGGAAGAACUGUAUGGAUGAGUUAACAUAAACUUAUAACAUAAACUAUAUCAAACUCCUUUUGAUACAUUGUGAAUAGUAUCUGUCCUUGUUUGCAGGCUGUACUAACUCCCAAACUUUGAUGUACCAAGCAGUUACAGAGUGAUCUGCUGCCUCUUUCCAGUAGCAAUUUAUCUUCACUUUGGUCACUGGCCAAGAACAAAACAAGGAGAUUCCUAUCAUGGCACGGAAUACCCUGAAUGAAUCUUUGAAAAUCCAGUCAUUACUGAUUUAUAAUCUAAGGAAGUUCAGCAAAUAUACUGUACUGACCCAGAAGUAAAAAGAACUCUGGAGAUUCUACCUACAAUGAUCUGCGAAGCUCGUAAAUGCAAGGGACGGUCACAAAGUUACUUUUUCAACAGUCAUAACUGCAAAUAGUCACUAAAUGAAGCAGUUGCUAAAUGAGGACUACCUGUACUGUUUCCCAUGUUACCGGAACUCUACAGAGCUACAAUCCCUUGAUGCCUGAAGUGCAGCACAAUUAUCUCGCUCUACUUCCUGGUCCAAUAACAAAAGCAGCAACACCACCCAUUACUGUAAAUCACGUUCACAAAAUUCUCUUUGGCAAAACUCGGAUAGAAACAGAGUGAACUUUGCAAUUUAAAAACAAAGCGCCUUUCUCACCUUGCAAGAAUUCCCGUAUUCAGGACCGAGUCACAGGCGCGCUGCCUGCAUCUUGCACUAAUUCUACUGGAGCCUCUGAGCGUACGCGCUUCUGCAAACAACACUGUGAGGCUACCGCUCGCUCCACUAGACUCUUCGGAUACGGGGGGUGGGGAAACAUUCCCCCCUCCCUCGUGUGCUUAAGGACAUUUCCGUCCUUUAAAGCAUUUUGUACCGGGGGGGGGGUCUCUCGGCUCUGAAACAGGCCAGGAAGUUUUUGAAGACAUUCUUACUGCAAACGGCUAACCUCUUCUUUGGAUGCCUCCGAUCUCCCGGUCUAAAUAGAGCUAAGUGGGAAGAGGACGUGCAGCUUUGCAGUGCAUUGCAGCACUUAAAUAAAUAAGUAAGCAAGUAACAAAUAAACCUCGGUGAAUCUACUUAAGCCUCCGAUCCCUAGCCGCGAUGCACUUCCGAGCGCUUCUGCCGCCCCACCGCCCCGUCCCUGCGAGACCACGGAACUGCUCCGGAUGAAAGCUAUUCAGCAGAGCGCUAGGUGAGGGUGCCCAAUGUAAAGUGCGCAGAACUGUACAGUGCUGUCUCGAUUUAGGCGCGAUGCCGCCGGCAGCAGGACAACGACCCACCUUCCCGUGCUUGGUCUAGGAUCACACCCCUCUCUCCAGCACCAGAGCGACCGACGGCGUCCUCCCGCGCAGGUACCGGCUCCGCUCCCGCCAAGAGACGCUCAGCUUCUGCAGGCGCUGAUCCGGAGCAGCCUGUAUUAUUCUACAGGUCACCGGGAAUCCCCCUGUCGGGGGACACAAACCCGGGCAGCUUGGCCAAUCAGCGCUCCGGAAGGAUUGUGCCGCGGCCAAUCAGCGCUCCAAGGCAGGCCGCUGUUUAGCGGAGCCUGAUUUCUGAGAAAUCAGGCUAUUGAAAACCAGCGGCAGAAGGGGAGGCCCGCCUUCCCUUCCCCGCCCCUUUCUCAAACUUCGGCGGCGUGUUGGUUAUCCCGCAAAAGGCGAAUAGGAAGAAAACAGUGAUCCUUACUCUGAAACCCAUAAGCCGGGGGCACGUGGAUCGUUCUCAGGGCUCCGCAGAUCUUCUCCUUCCAGUUCAACACCCACGCACACGUAACCGUCCGCAGGCGAGUCCAGUCACACUGGUCCUGACCCCAGCCCCUGCCUGUUGUAAUGGCCUGAAACCUUGCCUGCCUGAGCAUCGAGGGUUGAGUCAUGCUCAAAUGAGGGCGACCUCCUUCAAUUGUUACAUCAGCUAUUUUCGAACUGGGGGCCUGAAUCCCACCCCCACCCCAUCCAGGAUCGUGAGCAAUUGCAGAGGGUCACAGUUGUUGCUGUUUCAAAACAAAACAAACGGCGUACAGAAUGCUUGAAACAUACAGGCUUUGGGUCCAAGGGCGGCCAAGUCUGAGAAACCCUGCGAUUUAUAGCUUCAGAACUGAGAACUAAGUGGCAUGGUUACUUCUUCCCUGACCUUGAGCUGAACGAAAUUACUCAUUUUACGUGGGAAAGGGAGGGUCUCACAAAUUAAUUUUUCAUUUUACAGAGCUCCAGAGUAAUAGCCCAAUGCCAGGGGCUGAACUCUCAGCUGGGAUGCAGCUGAAUACCUAAAGGCUGUCUUAAGAAUGCUACACUUUUCACCUGGAAACCUGACUCCCCCAAGAUGUGCCAGACUACAAAGCCCAUAAUCCCCACUCAGGAUAGCAUGUGUUGUGCCCCAACACAUCCAUGCGGAAAAGCACCAGUUUGUGGAAAGCUGCCCUUCCAGUAUGUAGAAGGAUAUGCAUGGGUUCUCUUGGGCAUAAGGGAAAAGAUAGCAAUAAUGUCCUAUACAGAAAAUAAAUAAACGAGCAAAUCCCCAAAACAGAACCACCUUUUUCCUAAACAUGGAUAAAGCUUUCCUUAGGGUCAUGUCAGUUUGGCUCAGAAAUGGAUCACCGCUCCUGGGAGCAAAGCAAAAGCUUCCCUUUGGUGGGUGCCUUUAAACAGAGGCUGGAUACACUCCAAAGCCAGCGCUGCUUCAAUCUGGAUUCCUGCAGAAACUCUAUCUAAAGAACCUCUUCAACUCUAAUAUUUUAUGAAAUAAGUUUAAGUACUUCUCCAAGAGCAUGGAACUUGCUUAACUUUUAAGCAAACCCAAAUUCAUGGCUUUGUGUCAGGGGUCCCCUAGUAGUGCAUUGUCUGCAGGCUCAGGAGGCUUCAAUGUAGCAGGGAGGACAUGGGCUAUAAGCAGGUAGUGCUGCCAAGGAAGAAGAGGACAAAGACUAGGUUAAAAAAAGGGGGGGGGGCAGAGGUAGAAGUGUAGUUAGCAUUAUGGGGGGGGGCUGGCUGGGAGGAUCCAGUUCUCCAGUCAAAACCUGCAUGACCCAGUCAGUCCAUGUGUUUCUCCUAACAAGUUCUAAGAAGGGAUUUUAAGAGAGAAUACACACCCACAUCACCAUUCCUUAAUCCAGUGUUCCUCCCAAACUGCUGGGGCUGUGUUGGGAUUCUGGCAACUGCAGUCUCAAUGUGUUUGGAGGGUGCCAAGUUGGAGAAGGCACACAUACCCAACAUCCAGAGCUCAAUUAUCUUUUCCCCAGGAUGCCCUGAAUAUGAACUUGGAAUGAGUUCAGAUAUUGGGGAAUCUGGUUGAUCCCAUCUCCAUUUCAAGUUGGAAUGAUAUGUACAAAAAGAAAAGAAAAGUGAGAAUGAUACAGUGUAACAUAAAUAAAAGCAACAUAAUAAGAGGAAAAAAUAAGAAAUGCUGGGCAUUAGCCCAAACAUACCUUGAAGGCUUAAGGUUAGGGAAAGGUGACAAAUACUAUCUAUUGAAAUAGAUCUGGCCACAGCAAGAUACUGGACUAUGGCCUACACAUUACUCACAAACCUAUAAUGGUUCCCCUGCCAGUAAAUCACAUGAUUCUCAUAGAAAAGAUGGGUGAAACCAAUCUAACCUUUUGACUUCAAAUGUAUUUAGUGCUACCUGUGCUUCUUGUUACUGUUUAACUGAUGCAGUUAUGGAUAAACAUGUGGAAUCUUUUCAUCCUGAAUACACAUCUGUCAGCAGAAGCUGGGAAUAUGAAUUAAUAACUUACUGGAUUUGUCAUGCAUGUGUAGUUGUAAUUUGACUCUAAAGGAAGUGCAAUUUUAAAGUAUAUGUAAUAAAAUGUGUAUUUAUAGUCAG